CCUACGGGUGGCAGCAGUGAGGAAUAUUGGUCAAUGGGAGGAAGCCUGAACCAGCCAAGCCGCGUGAGGGAAGAAGGCGCUAUGCGUCGUAGACCUCUUUUGUCGGGGGACAAAAGCCGGGACUCGUCCCGGACUGCGGGUACCCGGAGAAAAAGCAUCGGCUAACUCCGUGCCAGCAGCCGCGGUAAUACGGAGGAUGCGAGCGUUAUCCGGAUUUAUUGGGUUUAAAGGGUGCGCAGGCGGGCCGUUAAGUCAGCGGUAAAAUCGCGGGGCUCAACCCCGCCGAGCCGUCGAAACUGGGGGCCUUGAGUGGGGCAGAGGCAUGCGGAAUGCGCGGUGUAGCGGUGAAAUGCAUAGAUAUCGCGCAGAACCCCGAUUGCGAAGGCAGCGUACCGGGGCGACACUGACGCUGAGGCACGAAAGCGCGGGGAUCGAACAGGAUUAGAUACCCGAGUAGUC
rnacentral:rRNA from 1 species